rnacentral:rRNA from 1 species
GACAGAGGGUGCAAACGUUGCUCGGAAUCACUGGGCGUAAAGGGCGUGUAGGCGGGAAGGAUAGUCAGAUGUGAAAGCCCUGGGCUCAACCCAGGAACUGCAUUUGAAACUCCCUUUCUUGAGUGUCGGAGAGGAAAGCGGAAUUCCUGGUGUAGCGGUGAAAUGCGCAGAUAUCAGGAAGAACACCAAUGGCGAAGGCAGCUCUCUGGGACGGUACUGACGCUGAGACGCGAAAGCGUGGGGAGCGAACAGG